AUGUCGACUAGCCGUUGGGAUCCUUGAGAUCUUAGUGGCACAGCUAACGCAUUAAGUCGACCGCCUGGGGAGUACGGCCGCAAGGUUAAAACUCAAAUGAAUUGACGGGGGCCCGCACAAGCGGUGGAGCAUGUGGUUUAAUUCGAAGCAACGCGAAGAACCUUACCUGGCCUUGACAUGCUGAGAACUUUCUAGAGAUAGAUUGGUGCCUUCGGGAACUCAGACACAGGUGCUGCAUGGCUGUCGUCAG
rnacentral:rRNA from 1 species